UGAUCAUGGCUCAGAACGUACGCUGGCGGCACGCCUAACACAUGCAAGUCGAACGAAGUAGCAAUACUUAGUGGCAGACGGGUGAGUAACAUGUGGGUAUCUGCCCUUUGGCCUGGAAUAACACGAGGAAACUUGUGCUAAUACCGGAUAAGUCUUUACGGAGAAAGCUUUAUGCACCAUUGGAUGAGCCUGCACUUGAUUAGUUUGUUGGUGGGGUAAUGGCCUACCAAGACUGUGAUCAAUAGCUGAUUUGAGAGGAUGAUCAGCCACAUUGGGACUGAGACACGGCCCAAACUCCUACGGGAGGCAGCAGUGGGGAAUCUUGCACAAUGGAGGAAACUCUGAUGCAGCGAUGCCGCGUGAGUGAAGAAGGCCUUUGGGUUGUAAAGCUCUUUCGUCGGGGAAGAAAAUGACUGUACCCGAAUAAGAAGGUCCGGCUAACUUCGUGCCAGCAGCCGCGGUAAUACGAAGGGACCUAGCGUAGUUCGGAAUUACUGGGCUUAAAGAGUUCGUAGGUGGUUGAAAAAGUUGGUGGUGAAAUCCCAGAGCUUAACUCUGGAACUGCCAUCAAAACUUUUCAGCUAGAGUAUGAUAGAGGAAAGCAGAAUUUCUAGUGUAGAGGUGAAAUUCGUAGAUAUUAGAAAGAAUACCAAUUGCGAAGGCAGCUUUCUGGAUCAUUACUGACACUGAGGAACGAAAGCAUGGGUAGCGAAGAGGAUUAGAUACCCUCGUAGUCCAUGCCGUAAACGAUGUGUGUUAGACGUUGGAAAUUUAUUUUCAGUGUCGCAGGGAAACCGAUAAACACACCGCCUGGGGAGUACGACCGCAAGGUUAAAACUCAAAUGAAUUGACGGGGACCCGCACAAGUAGUGGAGCAUGUGGUUUAAUUCGAAGAUACGCGCAGAACCUUACCAACACUUGACAUGUUCGUCGCGACUCUAAGAGAUUAGAGUUUUCGGUUCGGCCGGACGAAACACAGGUGCUGCAUGGCUGUCGUCAGCUCGUGUCGUGAGAUGUUGGGUUAAGUCCCGCAACGAGCGCAACCCUCACUUUUAGUUGCCAUCAUUAAGUUGGGCACUCUGAAAGAACUGCCAGUGAUAAGCUGGAGGAAGGUGGGGAUGACGUCAAGUCCUCAUGGCCCUUACGUGUUGGGCUACACACGUGCUACAAUGGUAUCUACAACAGGAAGCAAGACUGCGAAGUUAAGCAAAUCCCUAAAAGAUACCUCAGUUCGGAUUGCACUCUGCAACUCGAGUGCAUGAAGCUGGAAUUACUAGUAAUCGUGGAUCAGCGUGCCACGGUGAAUGCGUUCCCGGGUCUUGUACACACCGCCCGUCACACCAUGGGAGUUGGUUCUACCUUAAGGCAAGGUUUUAAACCCUUGACCACGGUAUAGUCAGCGACUGGGGUGAAGUCGUAACAAGGUAGCCGUAGGGGAACCUGCGGCUG
rnacentral:rRNA from 1 species